CUCGUCAUAUGACUGCUGUAACAUGAGAUGAAAAGGCUAGAAAUAAAAUAUGGCGUGUUAUAAUUUAGAUUUACCUCAUGACAAGGAUUUCCAUGUGUUUGUGUGUUAUGAAAGCAAUAAGACGAAUGAAGUGCGGGCGCUUGUGGACAACUUGGAAAAGAACGGGAUUAAGUGUUGUUAUUCUGAUAGAGACUUUAUACCCGGACGCUCAAUUAUGGAAAACAUUUACGAAUGUAUCAAGAAGAGCAUGAAUAUGCUAAUUGUUCUAUCUGAAGACUUUAUGAACAGCAAGUACUGUUUACACGAAUUAGAAAAAGCGGUGAAUCUUAGUAUUAACGGAGAUUACAAUCUUAUCCCUAUUAAGAUUGAACCUUGUGAAAUUCCGGAAUGUAUCCGACAUUUGACACACAUUGACGCAGAAGAGGAGAUAGACACAGCACAUACUAAGAUUAUUGACGCUGUGAUUCAUAAAGAAAUCAAUUUAGACGAUGGAGAAGGAAGCAAUGGAAAACAUAUGAAGUUUAAUAUCCAAAGUAAUAAGACGAGCUGUAUGGCUCUACCGAGGUAUCGUCUUCAGCUGAUGGAUAUUGACAGGGCAAGGAUUUGGAAUUCAGGUUUCGAGAUUUCAGCAAAUCUUCUCGAUGAAAUAGAAGAUGCUGUAAAUGGGUCGUUUUACAUGCGAAACUUGCAUAUAUGGAACAACGUUUAUUUGAUAAUUUCCGCCAUAUGGUUAGGCUGUUUAUCACUUCUGGUGAUUUUAUUUCUUCUGCUACUUCUGACUACGAGCGGAAAAGAGAAAACAAACGUUUAUCAACCUGUUGGAUAUGUUCUGAUAAUUGCUUUGCCGGUGGUCCUGUUGGCAGGAAUACUUUCUCUUCUUCUUCACUGUUUACAUACCGAGAGGAAUAUUCAACUUACUUGUAAAGGCUUUCAUCGUUUUGCGGAACUCAGUCUGGAAAAUCAGCACCGGAAACGAAGAACAGACAGGAGCAAUAUUCUACAUUUCAGAAGAACCAUGUGUAUCCUUUUGUAUCGUGUUGUUGAAACAUUCAUACAUUUUUUUACAUAUUAUAAGACAUUUCAGUACAACAUAUAGAGAAAAUCUUUUACAGUAUUAUUUUUCAAAAUAUUGUUAAUGACAAUUAACCAUACUUCUGGAAAGUAAAUGCGAUAUAAUGCGAUAAAUAUCAUAUCAUAUCAGUUUUAUAUAGUACCCUUGUCAUGAUUACAACUAUAAUUUGUUACCAUGAUGUACAAACGCAGCCUCAGUUUAGAGUACGGCAUUCAGCCACUGACAGUACAGAUUAAGAGCAACCUGGCUAGAGGAACAGACUGAAAGAAAAUCCAUAUGAGAGACAGAGAGAAUAAUAUAGCCUAGAAACUUUUGAAUAGAUAGUCUGCGUUUUUUAUGUGUCUGGUGUAAAGCAUCCUCAUCCCAAGGGUUUAAAGCAAUACUGUAAAAGUGGCAGGUAUUAUAAACCACAGUUUAGAAAUUCCAGGCCCGGAAUUGAACCUAGAUCCUCCAGAUGGACAGUCUAAUUGUUUAACCACUAAACCACCAUCCAAUUAUAUCAGUCUUAUGAUCAAAACCAAUCAUAAACAUAACUUCCCUCUAUAAUAUACAUUUAAGGGAGGAAUAUGACGCCUUAUCAGAUAUUUAUUGAAAAAACAAUCGUCAAAGGUACUUUGUGAACGUACACAAUUGUUUGAAGUUCUUUUAAAACUUUAAACAAAUAUAAAUAAGACUAUCUAAGGGUAAACCCUUAUACCAAAUUAUUUUACUUCAUUUGUACACUGAUUCUUGUUUAAGCGAACCCUGACACAAAUGAACAUCAAUAUAAUACGGCCACAUGUACGAUACAGGAUUUUUAGUACAUUACGGAUUUUGUUUUCCGCCUGUUCACAUUUUCUUGUAAAGUACAAGUCAUAUUGUUCUUUAAAAAAUAACGUACGUUUAUGAUGAAAAAAUAUGAAAACCAUUCCAAGCUAAAUACUUUGCAAGAAGGUUGGAGACGAGGCCAAAUUUGAAGCAUUAUUGGUGGAAGAACGAGACAAAAGAGGAAUGCACAAACAGAGUUUUCGAUGUAUUUUUAUGUAAUCAUUCAGAUAGAAUGGAAAUAGAAAGUUCAACUCCGCGUCACAAGAUGGCGAAUGGUGCUAAGUGCGCAUGCCUGCUUGUUGAAGAAUGGCUAGAUACACUAAAAUAUCAAAGUCACAAUAAAACGAACUAAAAGAUCUCCUACUACUUUUCUUCACCUACAGUCUUAGUGCAUUCAAUUCUGUUUUUUUUCACAGUGGGUCACAUGAUUUUUAAUUGGAUAAUGGAAUUUCUAGACGGACAGAAAACAUUAAACUUUUAUCUAAUGGCUAAUUGAAGUUGUAUAUACAGUGUAUGUACAUCUUGAAAUAUGAUUUUCCUAAAUCCUUCCUUGGUAAUUUUGUAUUUCAUUUAAAUGAAAGCUUGAAGAAAAUUGUGGCUGUAAAAGUGUUUGUUUAAUAACUUAUGUUAAAAAUAAAAAUAUACAAGUAAUUAGGUAAACGCUAUCACGUUUCUUUUCUGUGUUAUUUAAGAAAUAUAUCGCGGUUUAGAAGUUUGAAUUUCGGCGUUAAACAUGUAUGCUUGUUUAAAGUAUGUGGCCUUAAUGCGUAUUUAAACAUAGCCAUGUGUUUCAUACGCAGAUGGAAGUUAAUAAACAGCGAUUUAUAUCUUAAUGUAUAGUUUUAUUUUCUCCUCCUUUCAUCUCGUUUUAAUUGAUCUAAUGUUGUAUACUUUUGAGUUACAGAUCAUUGAAACAGCCAAAUCUUCAACUAAAUGCGGCGGUUGAAAUAGCAAACGUCCAAACGUCGUGUCACAACGCACACAUUCUUUCGGUAACGUCCGAUAAAGCACUGUUAAUAUUUGAUAUUCUUGCAUGCUAGACAGGAUGUUCUGUAUUUUUGCCGGUGCUAGAAAAACUAGUAUAACACAUUGUAGUGUAAGACGACUCGCGUGCUACAAUUAACGAAUGAAUGCAUAAAUCCAUACGCUACUGCUCAAAAGAAAAAAUAUUUAUUUUACUUAAUUUCUUCUAUCAAUUAAAGAAUAUGGCAUGCAAGAAAAAGAAUCAAACACUAGUUGACAUCUGGCUCCCGGGUAACUGUUUCUCGUAACUCGGCAGAGCCUCGUUACCGCCUAAACAGUUACCCUCGAGCUAGAUAUUUCAAUCCGCACCUUCAACAAGUUAAAGAUUCUUAUAUCAUGUAUUCUGUAACUUCAAUCGAGACUCGUUACCACCUAAACAGUUACCCUCGAGCUAGAUAUUUCCAUCCGCACCUUCAACCAGUUAAAGAUUCUUAUAUCAUGUAAUCUGUAACUUCAAUCAAGUAUGCCACACCAUGUUUGGUUCUAUACCUGGACAUUUUUGUUAAAACAGUUCUGUAAUUUUGAGGAGGGAAACUUUGGAAAAUACCUCGUCAAAUAUAUUAUAUAUCAGCAUCGAGUGAUUAUGGAGAAAAAACUUUAUAAUCACAAGAUUACUUGAUUUAACAAUUCUAACUAGGCCCAUAAAUAUGCAUAUAUCUACAUAUAUGCAUAUUACUCGCCCCUAUUUAUUUAGUGGAAACUUUAAAAAUCUUCUUGUCAGAAAGCAUUGUCACAACUUCGAUAUAACUCGCAUAUACUUUCAAUAUAGUUUCACAGAUACUUUCCUUUCGUGAACAUCUACCAGAACUCUUCAUGCAGCAAACUGAGCAAAUUACGGCUAUCAUGAGCGAUACAUGUCCAUCAUGGCCUUCUUGUACAAAAAAGUGAUAAAAACAACAACAUAAUUUUGCAUUUAUUUUUCUUUAAUCAGUUAAACACUAUCCAUCUCACAAACAAAAUAUCUUCCUCGAAAACAUUUCUCUAUCCGCCAGUGUCCACUUGGAUACAUCAAUCCUGCUGCACAAUUUGUGUCGUAGCCGGUAUCACAGGUUUUACAUCCAUCCCAGUUUGUAUAGUUUAGUGACUUCAUACUGGUCAUCCAUACCCAGGUACCUUCUUCAUUCAAGUCCGUGAGUCCGAUCCAAUAGCUGGUGCGCAUUAAUUGUGUCAAAUCUGGUGGGCUCACUGUCGACACACCGUAACCAUGUGAACUAGAGUAUCUGUCUAAAAUGUAUAUUUAGAUAAAAGAAAACUUUGCAUUAAAUAUAAAUUAUAUUGUAGACAUAAGUAUCUUUGUUUUGACAAAAUUAUCCAUUCAUAUGACAUAAUUAUGUAACUUACACUGGACAUUUAUUUCAUUAAAUAUAUAUUUGUACCAACUGUGGAUAACUUAAACAUUAUUAUAUCAAUGUUGAAAUACCAACAUUUUCUUCCCAUCAAAAUAUCAUCCUUAAUUAUGUUUGCAUUGAUACAAACCUGGAAAAAUGUUAGAAGCUUAUUUAAGUUUCUUUAUAGAGCAAAAGAGUUAACAGUUUAUGUUUAGUUUAUUAGUUUAUUAAAGUCUCAUUCAUGUUUAAAACCAACAUUGACAUUUACAAUAAAAGCAUUAAGACAACAUAUACAUGAUUAAUCAAAAAAGAUUUAUAGGAGACUAGAACAUGCACAUUUUAUGUCUUUGCAUGUGGUUUUGAAAAACAAUAUACAUGCAUAAACUGCAUAGAAGAAAUCAAUCAAUGUGUAGAGAAGACUGUAAUACUACAAUAUUCGCGAUUGUUUUUCAAUAAUCGCGACCAGGUUUACAAAACAUUCUGACGGAAGAUAAUUAGGCAGUUUGGCGGCCAAAUCGUGAUGGUUUCUAAAUGAAGAGAAUAUGCUUUUCGCGUUCAAGUCGCGUCAGUUUCUAACCGAAGAAAAAUAUAUUUUUCGCGAUCAAAUCGCGACAGUCUCUACUUAAAGAAAAUGUGCUUUUCGCGAUCAUAUCGCGACAGUUUCUAACCGAAGAAAAUAUGCUUUUUGCGUUCAAAUAUCGCCAGUUUCUAACCGAAAAAAGUAUGCUUUUCGCUAUCAAAUUGCAACAGUUUCUAACUGAAUGAAAUAUGCGUUUUGCGAUCAAAUCGCGACAGUUUCUAACAGAAGGAAAUGUGCUUUUCGCGGCGAUCAAAUCGUGACAUUUUCUAACCGAUAAAAAGCUUGUUGAUGAUAUUAUCGCGACAUUUUCUAACCAAAAAUAUUGUUGAUGACUAAAUCGCGAAAUAAACAAUUUUUAAUCCAUUAUAAUAUUACCCAUACAUUAUCAACAACACACUUUUACCAUUUAAUUGUUUUGCCACACCAUUCAAAAAGUUGUCUUCACUCUCGCUAUCGAUUUCAACCAGAUAACCUCCCAGUAUCUUACACAUUGACUGUAAAGACAAAGCAGAUUAUGUAUUUCCUAUUUCAAAUAUUUAAAUGUAAUUACAUCAUGUAAAAGUAUACAGUAAAGAAUUGUAGCAUUUUAUUUCAGUAACAAAGUAAAUUCCAACAAGUAUUAAAUUAUUUAUUUUUACUUUUUACGGUGCAGAUAUUUAGAUUAUAAAUAUCAGGGUGGCCAACCCGCGUGACUUUUAGAUACCGUACCUACGGAGUAAACGUCCCGACUGAGGUAACAUUUUGCCUAUAUUUUCCUUAUUACUUGACGGAUUUUCAUCUGAUAAAAAGCGUCGAAGACAGCAAAAUGAGUUCUUUCCUCCGAACAAAGCCUUAGUACUUUUCUUAAACACUUCGCCAAACUGCAUUUCUUGUAAAAACUGUUUAGAUAACGUACACACUUUCGCAGUUAGGCGAAGUGUUUGAGAAAAGUACUGAGUAAUAAUGGCAGAUGUUUUGUUCGGAGGAAAGCACUUAUUUUGCUGUCUUCGAAGCUCUUUAUGUUAACAUGUAGGCAAAAUGCUACCUCAAUCGGGACGUUUUCUCCGUUUGUAAAGUAUCCAAACGUCACGUGGGUUGGCCAUCCUGAAUAUCGUCUAUAUCGUAUGACUGAUUAUAUUUAUCAACAAGCUAAUGAUGUUAACUGAAUUUUCACCACAUUAACGAAUUUUAAGUAUAACUUGGUGUUUGUAUAAUUUUUUUUAAAGGAAAAUGGAAUUGAAUUUGCGUACCAAAGUUUCCAGAAACAUCUUUUAGCAAAUAAAAAUGUAUUUGAGGGUUAAAGUGUGUUCCAGAAGUAAUGGAUCGUUAUGCUUUUCCAGUAAAUUUAAUUCAUGAUUUUGCUAUAACACUCAAUUAUAAUGUCAUAAUGUCAUGUGUAUUACCUAAUACGGAAAAACAGUUUUUGUCUGUUUUUCCGUGAUAUAAAAACAUAAUUUAUUUUCAUAAAACCUUUUUUCAGCACCGCUACCGUAAUUAUGACAAAGGAUGUAUGAAUAUUUGUUUAGAUUACUACGUUUUAAACAAUGGAAUGUGACAAAUGUCAAGAAACUAACGUUUAAACUAAGGAGAUGUUACACAAGUAUUUAAGAAAUAUACAUACGAAUGCUCCAGCCCAGCUAAAUUCGUCACUGCUGAAGUUGUAACAUGACUCACCAAAACUGUGCCAUCCACUUGGACAGUCAGCAACUGUAAAUGAAUUAAACUAAUAUGCAUUCACUGUUGAUACAUGUAAUAGCUUUUUAAUGUAUUAUAAUUUCUCAUUACGGCUUUUUACUACCAUUUAUUUCGAACGAUUUGUUAUAGAAAACACGUCUAAUUCGUCUUCAAUUUUAUGAUAACUUGGCUUGACUCAACUUUCACGAAAUUCAAAUUUACUGUCAACAUUCAUGGAAGACACUUGCAUUCGUGCCUUUUUAUUUGUAAAUGCAAACUAGGGGCUUCCAAAUUUCCAAAAAAAAUCAAAAAAUCUGACAAACACAUUUUUUAAAGUUACGUUUAUAUUAAUUAAUUAAAGGAAUUUUUAGAUAAUGGUUAUGUCAGAAUUAAAAAGUUUUUCUUAGUUAGAUAUUCAUUAGGUAGCUGGCGAAUAUCAAGGUUCAGACAUUUAUAAUUUAGUGACAUCAUUGAAAAAAAUCAAAUUUUAGUAUUCAAAUUAAUGAUUGAAAAGUGUAUACACAAUAUAUUUUAUUAUAUGCAAACGAUACUAUUCUUUUUACCUCAGGUUAUAUCAGAUUUUCUUAAUAAUUGUGUGGAAUUAAUAAAGAUAGUAAAUUGUGAAUAGGGAUAAGGAAAAUAUUAUCUAUGUCAGGCGAUAAUAAUAAAUGUUUAAUUUUUUAUCUAUAUAUGAAAUAAAUAUUGAUAGAUUGGACAUGGGUAAUUACUUUAUUUACUUGACCUCUGUGUGUGACAUUGAAUUAUAAGCAAGAACCCAGGGUUUAGUUUUGUAUGCGACAUGCCAAACUAUUUGAAUAUCCAUCAAUGCAGAAAAUGUCUUCCAAAUAUCUGACAUCUAAGUUGAGUAUUGAUCUGAGUUUACAUGUGGCACAUUGCCUUGUCAUUGUUAACUAAAGAGUUUAUUUUAUGUAACACAACACUGCUUGAAUGGCAUGCCGGUCAACAGGCAAAACUACUUACGCUAGGUCGUUUAGAACUCGGGCAUUAGCUUUUACUAUCGCCGGUAAGUCAUUUAGUAAGUGUAAAUGAUUGCAUAACUCUUUCUGUGAAUCACAUGGCCUUUGCUUGUACUAUUGACCAGUCUACAGUCUAUAGCUUCAUAGGUUAAAGUAAGAAGAUAUGAAAAGUUAUAAUAAUAAAAACUUAUUGGACGGCUUGCUGGUCCAUAGUCAAAACUAUUCUCUGACAAGUCAUUCAAUAUGUGUAUAUUGUCAUACCAAAAGUUGUAGAAGUAGUACAAUAUUUUUUCUUUUUUUUCAGGAAAAACAUAACAAAACGCUAAAAGUUUCUGUCUAAGUCCUUUCUGAUAUCACCACUAACAAUAUUGUGAAGAACUUGUAUUCUUUGAAAGGUUCGACUAUGUUAUUGAUAAAAUUGUUGAGAUAAUUUUUUACCUGUGAUUAUAGGCAAAAAAAGUCUUAUUCCUUUUGAAGUAAAAACUACUAGUACCUGUAAGUCUAAUCGCAGAUACUAUUAGGAUUAAUUUAAACAUUUUUACAGUUUUCGAAGAGCAGUCGACUACAGUAGAUCUAAAAUGAGCCGACUUAGAUGUUAUUGUGAUCUUUACGCAUUGAUAAGGCAACAUGAUAGCGGCGAGCGAGUGCAUUAACCUAAUAAUCUAAGACUCUACAAACAGAUAUUAAAAGGUCAACCAAUUUCAAAAAUUAUUUUCUGGUUAACACGUAGAAUUUAAAUAUUAGUUACGUGUUGUAUAUGUUUACCGUUCCAAGGUUGUGUCACAUUAUUGCUCUGUAUGUAUUCAAAUGUACAUAAUCUAUAAUACAUACACUGUUAAAGUGG